rnacentral:rRNA from 1 species
UACGUAGGGGGCGAGCGUUGUCCGGAAUCAUUGGGCGUAAAGCGCGUGUAGGCGGCCCGGUAAGUCCGCUGUGAAAGUCCAGGGCUCAACCCUGGGAUGCCGGUGGAUACUGUCGGGCUCGAGUCCGGAAGAGGCGAGUGGAAUUCCUGGUGUAGCGGUGAAAUGCGUAGAUAUCCCCAAGAACACCAGUUGCGAAGGCGGCUGACUGGACACAUAUUGACGCUGAGGCUCGAAAGCAUGGGGAGCAAACAGG